rnacentral:rRNA from 1 species
AUUGAACGCUGGCGGCAUGCCUUACACAUGCAAGUCGAACGGUAACAGGUCUUCGGAUGCUGACGAGUGGCGAACGGGGGAGUAAUACAUCGGAACGUGCCCGAUCGUGGGGGAUAACGAAGCGAAAGCUUUGCUAAUACCGCAUAAGAUCUACGGAUGAAAGCAGGGGACCGCAAGGCCUUGCGCGAACGGAGCGGCCGAUGGCAGAUUAGGUAGUUGGUGGGAUAAAAGCUUACCAAGCCGACGAUCUGUAGCUGGUCUGAGAGGACGACCAGCCACACUGGGACUGAGACACGGCCCAGACUCCUACGGGAGGCAGCAGUGGGGAAUUUUGCACAAUGCGCGAAAGCCUGAUCCAGCCAUGCCGCGUGCAGGAUGAAGGCCUUCGGGUUGUAAACUGCUUUUGUACGGAACGAAAAGACUCUGGUUAAUACCUGGGGUCCAUGACGGUACCGUAAGAAUAAGCACCGGCUAACUACGUG